ACACGCUGGCGGCGUGCCUAACACAUGCAAGUCGAACGGAGCACUUCGGUGCUUAGUGGCGAACGGGUGAGUAACGCGUGAAGAACCUGCCUUUCAGUGGGGGACAACAGUUGGAAACGACUGCUAAUACCGCAUAAUGUUAUUUGGGGGCAUCCUCGAAUAACCAAAGAUUUAUUGCUGAAAGAUGGCUUCGCGUCUGAUUAGCUAGAUGGCGGGGUAACGGCCCACCAUGGCGACGAUCAGUAGCCGGUCUGAGAGGAUGAACGGCCACAUUGGGACUGAGAUACGGCCCAGACUCCUACGGGAGGCAGCAGUGGGGAAUAUUGGGCAAUGGGCGAAAGCCUGACCCAGCAACGCCGCGUGAAGGAAGAAGGCCUUCGGGUUGUAAACUUCUUUUACCAGGGACGAACAAAUGACGGUACCUGGAGAAAAAGCAACGGCUAACUACGUG
rnacentral:rRNA from 1 species